CCUACGGGGGGCAGCAGUGGGGAAUUUUCCGCAAUGGGCGAAAGCCUGACGGAGCAAUACCGCGUGAGGGACGAAGGUCUGUGGAUUGUAAACCUCUUUUGUUAGGGAAGAUAAUGACGGUACCUAACGAAUAAGCAUCGGCUAACUCCGUGCCAGCAGCCGCGGUAAGACGGAGGAUGCAAGCGUUAUCCGGAAUUAUUGGGCGUAAAGCGUACGUAGGCUGUUUCAUAAGUCUGUUGUCAAAGCCCGAGGCUUAACCUUGGAAAGGCAAUGGAAACUG
rnacentral:rRNA from 1 species